rnacentral:lncRNA from 1 species
AUUCGGAGUAAAGUCUCAAGGAGUCUCAUUCCUGAUUUGAAGUGACCCGCAUGGGUUCACAGUUCUCUCUCAGAACACGUACUCCUUUGAUUUUCUUGAAAGCCUUUGGAAAGCCUUGGGAAACCUGUAGGUUCCACUGGCAAUCAGUAUGGACUCUGUUGGAAUGUAAUGUGUCAAUUUGGUUUCAUGCCUCAUCACACUGGCAGACAGAAGAGGGUAAUGGCUGCUUUGGGGAGUGGAGGAAGCCAAAAAGAAGGCAAAGAGUGAAGACAGAGAAACAAGAUGUCAGUGGUGGUGCUGAGAAGGAAUAGAGAGACUUUUCUUCUUGUUAAGGGCCGCAGAGGGAGGAAUCCAGCUGAGGACUACACAGGGGCAUCUGGCUUCAGGAAUAACAGAUCAAAUGGUGACGAACUCCUUCAAAAUGGGAUCCACUAGUACUCUCCCAGGCUAUUGUGCUAGACAGACAUAUAAAUGGAUAAUUGCAGCAUGGAGUGAAAAAAGCAUAAUGAUGUUGGUGCUGUGAUAGAAGGACACACACUAAGCCCCAGAUUAUUGAGAAAUCCUCAGCCUGGCCAGGCCCUGGAGGAAUAUGAGCUACCCCAUAGCUCCCAAAUUUUUAUCUUCUCCAGUCACCCUGGGUAGUUAAUCCUGAACAAGUCAGUUCUGGCGAAGAGAAUGGACUAACAUGGUGAAUAUGAAGCUGCUGAAACACACUCUGUGGAUAAGGAAGUCUGAUAAGGAAAUCAUUUUGAGCUUGGCAGAAACCCAAAUGGUAUCUACCACAAUCACUAAAGACCAAUGAUUUUUUUGUCAUAAAUUUUUCUCUCGAUCUAUUCCCUAUCCCCAUCACCAAGCCAUUGUACUUGUUCAGGUUCUCCUUCACCUCUUUUGUGGACUAAUUUGCUCCCAUUAAAGUAAGUAUCAUACAUGAACUCUUCUGAUUAUUUGUUUACAUACCUGUUUCUUUGCUAAACUUUAAAGUGCCUGAAGACAAGCAUUAUAUCUUUUCAUUUUUGUAUCCCCACUGGUACUUAGCAUAAUAU